rnacentral:rRNA from 1 species
AAUAGAUACCCUGGUAGUCCACGCCGUAAACGAUGAGUGCUAAGUGUUAGAGGGUUUCCGCCCUUUAGUGCUGAAGUUAACGCAUUAAGCACUCCGCCUGGGGAGUACGGCCGCAAGGCUGAAACUCAAAGGAAUUGACGGGGGCCCGCACAAGCGGUGGAGCAUGUGGUUUAAUUCGAAGCAACGCGAAGAACCUUACCAGGUCUUGACAUCCUCUGACAACCCUAGAGAUAGGGCUUCUCCUUCGGGAGCAGAGUGACAGGUGGUGCAUGGUUGUCGUCAGCUCGUGUCGUGAGAUGUUGGGUUAAGUCCCGCAACGAGCGCAACCCUUGAUCUUAGUUACCAUCAUUAAGUUGGGCACUCUAAGGUGACUGCCGGUGACAAACCGGAGGAAGGUGGGGAUGACGUCAAAUCAUCAUGCCCCUUAUGACCUGGGCUACACACGUGCUACAAUGGACGGUACAAAGAGCUGCAAGACCGCGAGGUGGAGCUAAUCUCAUAAAAACCGUUCUCAGUUCGGAUUGUAGG